UACGUAGGGGGCAAGCGUUGUCCGGAAUCAUUGGGCGUAAAGAGCUCGUAGGCGGUUUGUCGCGUCGGCCGUGAAAUCUCCACGCUUAACGUGGAGCGUGCGGUCGAUACGGGCAGACUUGAGUUCGGUAGGGGAGACUGGAAUUCCUGGUGUAGCGGUGAAAUGCGUAGAGAUGCGGCGGAACACCGAUGGCGAAGGCAGCCCCCUGGGCUGAGAUUGACGCUCAGGCACGAAAGCGUGGGGAGCAAACAGG
rnacentral:rRNA from 1 species